AGUGAACGCUGGCGGUAGGCCUAACACAUGCAAGUCGAACGGCAGCACAGUAAGAGCUUGCUCUUACGGGUGGCGAGUGGCGGACGGGUGAGGAAUACAUCGGAAUCUACUUUUUCGUGGGGGAUAACGUAGGGAAACUUACGCUAAUACCGCAUACGACCUACGGGUGAAAGCAGGGGAUCUUCGGACCUUGCGCGAUUGAAUGAGCCGAUGUCGGAUUAGUUAGUUGGCGGGGUAAAGGCCCACCAAGGCGACGAUCCGUAGCUGGUCUGAGAGGAUGAUCAGCCACACUGGAACUGAGACACGGUCCAGACUCCUACGGGAGGCAGAAGUGGGGAAUAUUGGACAAUGGGCGCAAGCCUGAUCCAGCCAUACCGCGUGGGUGAAGAAGGCCUUCGGGUUGUAAAGCCCUUUUGUUGGGAAAGAAAAGCAGCAGGUUAAUACCCCGCUGUUCUGACGGUACCCAAAGAAUAAGCACCGGCUAACUUCGUG
rnacentral:rRNA from 1 species